rnacentral:rRNA from 1 species
GAUGAACGCUGGCGGCAUGCUUAACACAUGCCAGUCGGACGGGAAACACGGGCUACGUUGUUUCCUGUGGCGGACGGGUGAGUAACGCGUCAGAACAUGCCCUUGGGAGGGGAACAACAGCUGGAAACAGCUGCUAAUACCCCGUAGGCUUAGUGGCAAAAGGAGGAAUCCGCCCGAGGAGGGGCGCGCGUCUGAUUAGCUAGUUGGUGAUGCAAUAGCUUACCAAGGAGAAGAAUAGGAGCUGGUCCGAGAGGAUGAACGGCCAGACUGGGACGGGGAGAAGGACUAGGCAACAACGGGAGACAGGAGAGGGGAAGUUUCCGCAAUGGGCGAAAGGCUGACGGGGCAAUGCGGCGGGGAGGUAGAAGGCCCAGGGGUCGUGAGCAUCUUGUCACGAAGAAGAAGCAAUGACGUUAUCUGGGGAAUAAGCAUCGGCUAACUCUGUG